rnacentral:rRNA from 1 species
AACGAACGCUGGCGGCAUGCCUAACACAUGCAAGUCGAACGAGACCUUCGGGUCUAGUGGCGCACGGGUGCGUAACGCGUGGGAACCUGCCCUUAGGUUCGGAAUAACUCACCGAAAGGGGUGCUAAUACCGGUUAAUGUCUUCGGACCAAAGAUUUAUGGCCUUUGGGUGGGGCCGCGUUGGAUUAGCUAGUUGGUAGGGGAAAAGCCUACCAAGGCGAGGAUGCCUGGCUGGUCUGGUAAGAGGAUCCACCACAAUUGGACUCAGACACGGCCCAGACUCCUACGGAGGGCAGCAGUGGGGAAUAUUGGACAAUGGGCGAAAGCCUGAUCCAGCAAUGCCGCGUGAGUGAUGAAGGCCUUAGGAUUGUAAAGCUCUUUUACCCGGGAUGAUAAUGACAGUACCGGGAGAAUAAGCUCCGGCUAACUCCGUG